rnacentral:misc_RNA from 1 species
GGGAAACAAUAUAAAGCUUGGCUGUUCAAAAAGAAGUGCUACGUCCAAGGCUUUCAGGCGGAGAAUUCUACGACCCACAAUCCCCUAUUCGAAUACCCUUUUGAGCCCUUAAAUCUCCAAUUACUCACUCUCCUCUUCCAUUUCCAGCUAGAAUUUUUCUGGGUUUCAAGAGUCAGAUAUGGCAGCAACGUCAGCAACUAUUUUGUCAAUUGGAGCAACUGCAUCACUUAAUACUAAACUCAACUCAUUUUCCCAAUCAAAGUCUGCUAGCUUAAGAAUCAAUUCACAAGAUACUCUUCAGAGCUUUUGUGGCCUCAAGGCAGCUUCAUCUCUUCAUUGUAACUCAGAGUCAUCUUUCCUAGGGAAACAGAGCAGUGUUGCCCUAUGGCGUUGUCUUGCUCCGUC